rnacentral:rRNA from 1 species
UACGGAGGGAGCUAGCGUUGUUCGGAAUUACUGGGCGUAAAGCGCACGUAGGCGGCUUUGUAAGUUAGAGGUGAAAGCCCGGGGCUCAACCCCGGAAUUGCCUUUAAGACUGCAUCGCUUGAAUCCGGGAGAGGUGAGUGGAAUUCCGAGUGUAGAGGUGAAAUUCGUAGAUAUUCGGAAGAACACCCGUGGCGAAGGCGGCUCUCUGGGACGGUACUGACGCUGAGACGCGAAAGCGUGGGGAGCAAACAGG